UACCACAUGUAUCUUUUUUCUCUUUCAAUGUAUGUAUUCCUUGGCAAAGCAGACACAAGAAAAACCAUCAGAGAAACGCUCCAGAGCCAAGACGAGUUCGAAAUCAGUUCUUGCGAUCCGUUGCGGUUGUUUUCUACCUCUGUUAUUCAGUGGCACUCGAACCGGAAGGUUAUACUCUACAUUGUGAUAAUUGCAUGUUCUUGUGUCUACUCAACAUUUUCGACUUCGAUCAUCUUAUCUUUGCAGGUGGAAAUUAUCCACUUAAUGAAACUCGAGUAGGUGGAAACAAAAGUCUCAUUGAGCUACUAGAAGAUGCAAAGAGUAAUCAAUUACAGGAUUUUCUACAAUCUUUAAACAAAUGAAGAUUUUCUAGCAAGAUCACAAAAUUAUUGACGACUAUUCACCGAUCUAUGGCAAACUUGAAAAAUGGAGCUUUUUUGAAGCAUGCUAUAUUUAAAACUACUGCCUUUUCUGAAAGCUAUACGGAAGGAAAGACAGGAUUGCAUAGGAAUUGUGUAGGACAGACAAUGCUCUAAAAGGAACCAGACGCUAACCAACAAUCAUGACAUGUAUCGACUUUUUGUCAGAGCAACAAUGGUGCUAUGGUGCUUGCCGAUAACAUGCUGGUUGCAUAAAUGCAUCAUCACCUUUUGCCUGUAUCAGAUACUUGAGAUUUGUAAAUAUAAUAUGUAUGUGAAUAUUACCACUAUAGAUCAACUAUUGUUCGAAGUGCAUGCAAAUAGAUCACGUAUUUUCAACUCUUAAUAAGGGGAGUUGUUAUAUUCAAUUGAUAAACAAAAUGGAAUAUAUGUAGUACCUUGAUGUUUGUAUUCAAUUAUAUUUUCAUACCAGC